rnacentral:misc_RNA from 1 species
CGAACGUGGACGAUAUCGGUGCUCAUAUACGGGGUGUGCGCAUUUCAUGUGCAAAGCUAUAAGUUCCCUGACAGUAUCAAGCGAUGCCACUUAAAGGAUUCUAAUUUAGAUGAUUGUCUCAAGCAAGGGAUUCAGAAUGCCUACGAUGUCCUAGCAAAAGGACCGAUAAAUGACCUGAACCUGGUGGGAAUAAACCCGGUGGUAAUCGAUAAGAUUGUCAUUGGUGCUGGCACAGCAGCAGUGAAUCUGGAGCAACAUUAUUCAAAUGUCAAAAUCUACGGCUUCGACACGUCUAAAGUGACCAAAGCGCACUUGGAUUGGGACAAGAAAACGCUGGAGUACGAAACCGUUUCUCCGCAAAUACAACAAAAGGCGAACUACGACAUUAACGGAAAGGUUAUGGUAUUGCCAGUAUAUGGAAAGGGAGAAUCAACAAUCACCUUAAAGGAUGCUACAAUGCAGCACAUAAUCCAGUUCAAGGAACAAACCAAGGGCGGUAAGAAGCACCUCAUGGUAGACACAUAUUUACUGAACAUUGAGAUAAAAGGAGCAAACUACGAUUUCCGAAAUCUCUUCGAUGGGGACCAAGCGCUGUCUAAAAACAUUUUGACGGUCAUUAACGAGAACUGGAAGGAGGUAUACGACGACGUAAAAAGCGGAAUAGCGAAGGCAUACGGAGAAGUCUGCAAGCUCAUCGCCAACGGAUUGUUCAGUAAAAUGCCUUACAAUGAAGUAUUUCUGGAAUAGAUUUUUAUAAAUAAAUAAGUGUGUUAGUAAAGCCGAG